CAUAUUAAUUCCAUUCCCUUCUUUCCUUUCCCCGAAAGGAGCAAAGGGGAAGGGGAAGUGGGAGGCUCUGCCUCUUCUUAGGCAGGAAUACUUCAAUCCUUUUCUGUUCCUGAGAUGGGAUUGGGCAGGCUUGCCUUGGCCCUCCAGCUCCUGGGACUACAUUGUGUGCCACCACACCCAGCUCAGGCAUACUUCUUGAGUGCCCCCAGAGAAUUUUCAAAAGAGCAAGGGGAGGGUUAUUUCCUGGCACUGAGAAUUCAAGGAAAGGGCUGGAGCACUUGCCUGGUUUGCAUGAGGCCCUGGGUUCCAUCCUCAGCACUGCAAGAGAAGGGGCAAGGAGUUGCCUUAGGUUCAGGACAUUGUGGACAAUGUGGGAAGAAUACAGUCAGAGCAGAAGAUAGGACCUAGUGUGGCCUGUCACCCCAUUGCCCUGCACAGCUCCCAGGCCCACCGAGGGAUGGAACAAGAGGCUGCACCUGCUGUGCCCAUGCGAGAGAUGCAAAGCCAGAGCUGGCUCUUCCCUAGCCCCUGGUGGGGACUGCUAUACUGCUAUACUGCUAUCCUGUGGUAAGAGGUAGAGCCCCUGGGAGGUGAAGGGGGUCCUCGCAGGUGCCAUCUGUACCUAGCCUUGCUGUUGGGCUGACAUUGCAGAGGAGCACUGUCUCUGUUCCCCCGAUUUGGGGGAGAGGCCUCUGUGGGCACUCAUGGUUCUCUGCUCUCACUCACCGCAGACCUUACCAGAUACCCCUGUCGGUGUCAAGGUCCUCUCAGCUCGGGGGACUUCACUGACACUGGUCAAACCCAAGCUCUACUCACCAACUGUCUUGUCUUUUUGAACCUCCAUUUCCCCACUGCAUGGGAAUAAUAACGUCUAUCUCGUGUUGACUAAUGAAGACAAAAUGAGCAAAAGAGCCCACCCCAGGCCCAGUUCUGGGUAUUCUUUGAGAUACUGGUUGAGCACCUGAUCUCUGAGACUUGUGGGGAUGAGGGAGAAGCCAGGACACUUUCUAGCCCAGUGCUGGAGUCACAAGGUCUGGGUGGAGGCCCUUUGAACCCUGUGUUCACUUCCUCUCCCAAUGAGUCAGUCCUUUUUCCAGCUGCCAGGCCCUCAGAAUCCCUCCACCCAGCUCUUUCCUCCUUGCCUGGGACCUAUGGACUUUAGACUACAGGAGCCAGUUGGUCCCCCGCCCAGAGGUCUUCAGGAGGGAAUCCAGACCAACCAGGGAACGCUGAGCUUCAUCCUAGAACAGCUGUAGGUAUUGCCCUGUUUUACAAAGAAGGAGGUGACACUACACCUGUACCAGUAGGAAACCCUAAUAGCAGAGGAGCUGCAACUCCACCACCUGAGCGAAUGCACAGCCCUCCCCGCUCCCAAGGGCCCAUCACCAGAAAGGGCCAGGCCCCCAUCCACUCCCAGGAUGGAUCCCUUGCCUUUCUUUUCAAACCUGCCCCUGCCUGGCCUCAAGCAAGAGGAAGACUUUCUUUCUGUUCUUCAAAGAAAACACUAAACUAGCCGGAUUUGUUGGCACAUGCCUAUAAUCCCAGCAUGGGGAGGCUGAGAUGAAGAAAUUUUUCCAAAAUCUACUAUGGAACCCAGAUCAUAAAUGUACUGGACUGUCAGUCGGGUCGUCUGAGAAGCAGGUGUGCAUAGAGUUAGACAAACACUGCACUGGAGAAAACACUUGGAAAAGGUAAAGGGGAAAGGAACAAGGGGAAGCAGAAAGCUUAGGCCUGGAAACAGAGAGCAGAAAGGAAGAAUUGGAUUUCAAUGGGCUCAGAGAACCCUCAGCGGCAGGCGGGGAGUCCCAGGCCAGGGAAAAGAGUCCAUUUGAAGCAGGGUGUGUUGGAGCACACCUGUGAUCCCAGCAGUAGGGAAGCUGAGGGAGGGGGAGUCAAGAGUUUGAGGCCAACCUGACCACAUAGCAAGACUUUGUGCCAAAAAACCCCUCAAAAUAAGUAAAUAAAUGAAGUUUUAAAAAGAAAAACCAUUCAAAGGCCUUCUCUGUGAGUAGAAAUGCCCCAUGUACAUCCCCAGCCUAGCUCAGGGAUGGGCUUGAAGCAGCCCAGGCAGCAGCAGGCAGAAAGGAACAGUGGCAGGGCUGUCACCAGACCCAUUCUCCCAGCAGAUUGUGCCUCCAUGGCUCCCCACAGACCCAGCAUGCCACUCAAACUUUCAAGCGUGUGGCUUCUGUUGACAUAAUGAUCUUUUGAACACUCAGGAAAGUUUCUGACCUCUUAACCUCUGGGUGUCCAUGGGUCCUGAACUAAACUCUUCUUUGGGGCAAUCCCUGGUCUUGUUGCUGAACUGCUGCCUCAGGCCUUCAUGCAGGUACUGGAAAACAUGUCAAACCGGGCAUGGUGGUGCACGCCUGUAAUCCCAGCACUUGGGAGGCUGAAGCAAAAGGAUCAGGAUCGCUGUGAGUUCGAGGCCAGCCUGGGCUACAUAGUGAGUUCAGGGCCACCCUGAACUACAAAGGGAGACCCUGCCUCAAAUAAACCAAAAAAAAGAAAAAAGAAAACAUGUCGACCUUGUGCCCAGAUAGAUGCCCACCCUGUGAUUUCAGGGUGUUUUCUCUGUGGUUUACCCAAUUCCCUGCAGGUUUUGUUUGGACUGUGCCUUUCUCAUCAGGUCGACACUGAUGAUGACCUUUGGCUGGCUUUCCUCUCCCAGAGGCUGAGGUCCUUUUAAGAUACACACUCAGCCAGAGGUUGAGUCUAGAUACUGUGCUGUGGACCUCCCUGGGGACAUAGCUCAGUGGCCUCCAGUGGGACUGAAACUCCAGGGCAGCCCCGGAGGGAAAGUUGCCCAGACAGAACUUCCCAGGCAUCCACUUGCACCAGUGCCAAAUUGUCUAUAGUACCCUCUACAGCUGCCUACUGCCUGACCCUACAGAGAGGUCCCCAUGGAGGCAGAAAAUCACAGUCAGUCUGAUUUUGCCACUGUGAGGGGGGCAAGACCAAGGUCAGGCCUGGUCGCCCACUGCCUCCAGCCCUCCAGCCUGAGAGCUGUGCUAGCCCUGGUCUUGGGCUGGAGCUGUGGGAGACAGAAAGAGAUGAGGUGCUCCUGUGAGGUCAUCUCUGCCAAUGACUUAGCGCUUUCCCAAGGCCCCCUGGGCUCCUGCUUCCCUGCCAGCUUCUAGAUGGAGGGAAACAGACAUUAACCUCACAAUAGUCCAGGGGCAGGAGGCCAUCAACCCUCCCCUUUAUUAUUUCUGUUCUCAGCCCUGGGCCUUAGGUAGAGUGGCAUAAUGCAAAUCCAAGCACUGUUUUCAGAGGGCCAUCAGAGCAGAAGGGUCCAUGGCGGCUGGAGAUCAGCCCAUGUGGGUUGCCUGUAGACCAGCCCAAGGAGUUUGGUGGUGGGUGGAGGGGGGGCAGAAGGCUUUCUGGUUGAGGGGUUAAGGAGAGCUGCAGGGCUCCCCUGCUCACCCGCCCCUGAUGAGAAGCUGUAAUGAGCCUCUUGUACAGAAGCUGCUGGACACUGAGGCAGGCCAGUCCCCUGGGAGAGCUCCUAUAGCCUGGGUGCAAGUGCCCAGUAACAUAGAGAGCUGUUCUGACAGGAGAAAGAGCUGGUCUAAGUGGGAAGGAAACCCAGUUCCUGCAGGAUCUUGAGGAAUGGGUCUCUGAGUUUUGGUCAGAGACUCCCCUCAGCCCAGGUAUCCACAGGUUAAAAAGUGACCAGCUAGAGGAUUGGGGGAGGCAUGCCUCAGAGGAGAAAUAAAGAGGACUCAUCCUCUUAGCUCAAGUGCCAGCACUCCCCACGGCCUUUCUCUGCCACUGACCAGUUGACCCUUCUUUCCUCUCAAGUCCUGUGGUUCCUACUUUGUGGAGAGCUCUUCUGGAGAGCUUUCAACUCUGUCCCAUAGACUGAGGGUUCCCAAAAGGCAAGAGGCAGGCCUUGUUUCUCUUUAUAUUUGGUACAUACUAAGUACACAAUAAAAGUUGAAUCAAUAGAAAACCAGAUGACUGAAUGAGUGUGUAUGUGUGUGGAGGGUGUGUGUGUGUGUGUGUGUGAAUGGAUAGAUGGAUGGAUGGAUAUGAAUGAGUGAAUGGAUGGGUGGGUGGGUAGACAGCAAGUAGAAUAGAGGAAGAACAUCUGCAAGAAGAGAAAUCAAGGGCCAGGGAUUUAGCUCAGUGGUGCUACCGCCUGCCUUGAAAGGCAGGUCCUGAGUUCAAUCCCCUGUACAGAAAAAAGAAAGAGAGAGAAAUCAAUAAUCACAAUGAAAUCUAGCAGUUAGCAUAUUGUGUCUUAAAAAGGGGAGACAUCUGGAAGAAUAGAUGUUUCCUUAAGGAAGCAAGAGCAUGUUUAGGGUCCAAGAUGGAAGAAGCUGCCCAGACAGCCUUGGGACUGGGACUUGCUGAGAUGUAGGAGGGAAGAGUGACAAGUGGAUUUGCAGGAAGAAAGCCAGGUGAGAGACAGAUGUCAUGAAAGGUAGAACCACAGAAGGAGCCCAGGGACCAAGGGAUAAUGACAAGAAUUCCCCAAAGGGAGCAAUUUCCAGCAAUCAAAUAGCUUCUCUAAAGCAGAAGUAUGAGGCCAUUUUUGUUUGUUCAUAACCAUCCAGGAUUUUUAGAGGAAAGCUCUGAGGGUUGUUAGAGAGGGAGUCCCUUGGUGUAUCAAGGACACAGAGUGAACAGAUUCUUGGGUUCCAUUGCAGGCUCCUCCACAAGCCUGUCACGACCUUGAGCAAGUCCCUUCUCUGAGUCUCAUUCUCCACACCUCUCACUUUCUUUUUCUUUUUUUCCAAGACAAAAGCAUUUAAGUACAUCUAUAAAUAAAUAUACACAGCAACUCAUAUCAGCUGCAAGGACAGAGCACCCGAUACCCCAUCUCUACAGUCACAGAAAUGAAACCACUUUGUGUGAUUCUUUCUCGUGCUUUUAUGGUUCUUUCGGUAAAUUCCGAGUAGUGGUGUGCAGGAUGCCGAUCCGGAUGUUCCCUGUGGUCUUCAUCUCAGUUGUCUCUUGCGUCUUGUUAAUAACUUCUCAUCAGAAUGCCAGUCAUUAUUUUAAGUCAUUUAAGAAGUUUUUUCAACGUUUUUUACCUCAUGACGUUUUUCUAUUCUCAGUUAUUGAAAGAAAAAUAUUUUCCAUUUCCCUAAUCUCUUCUAUAAUAAUCCUUUUUCACUUUCUGGACUGCUGAUAUUUAGCCACUGUAAAUAGUUCUGCAAUUAAAUUUUUUGGAGAAAAAUAAUAUUUACUUUUUGUUGGAGUGAGUUCUCAUUAUUUCAAACUCAGAGAAAUUAUAUAGACCAAAGAGUUUUAUCGAGAAAAAAAAAUUACUUUUCCUCCACUCCCGUUUUCAAUAAAAUAGCCUCGGUUUCACUGUUAAGAAGAAAGGGGCACGCCCGAAGCCACAGAGCCCGCGUGCAGGAGGAAGCGAGUUCACCUUCACGAGUUCCCCAGGGUUCGGCGAAGGCGCCUGAGAGCCCGUGAGCGGCAGGGUCAGGGCCCCUGCGGGCGGGGUCGCACGAGGCCUCACCCCAAGGGAGGCGGGGUCCAGCUGGAGCCCCUGUGCUGGGAGAGUCCGAGGGGCUCGGGCUGCUGAGGACCCACCUCUCCCUCCAGCCCUCCCUUCGCUGGGCCUCCGCGUGGCCUUUCUUCUGCCGCCCGUCAGCAGCAGCCAGCCGCUCCCGCCCCCGGAGCCCUCCUCCCUUUCUGGGCGCCCACCCUCUCUGCCAUUGCUCCGCGUUGCGUUCUCCUCGCCAGGGGCCAUCGCCGCGGCUGGCCUGCCUGAGGACGGCCCUCCAGUCCCCGGCAGCAGCACCAUGCUGAACAGGCCUUCCUCACCUGACCUCCCACAGCACCUCCAGGCCCAGGACGCCGGCAGGGAGACGGCAGGCAGGUGACCGUGAUGAUGGUGAGUCAAGCCCAAAGCAUUGAUGGGAAAUUCAGAUGAAUGGAUUGGCCACCUGAUAAGACAAGAAAAGCUCUAAGAAUGCAGCGCCGGGGAUGUAGCUCAGUGGUUCCGCCACCUGCCUCACAAGUGCAAGGACCUGAGUUCGAUCUCCAGUACCAAAAAAAAAAAAAAAAAAAAAAGAA